CUAAGGAAUAUUACGGAAACCCCACACAUUCGUCAUUACUUUGUUCAGUUUUGAGAGGUCUAAUCUUCUCAAUUAAAUACUUUUUAGAGCUCUUAUUUUUAUGUUGGGCCUAUAGCUCAGCUGGUUAGAGCGCACGCCUGAUAAGCGUGAGGUUGAUGGUUCGAGUCCAUUUAGGCCCAUUCUAAAAAAAUAGUACUCUUGAAGGGGCCUUAGCUCAGCUGGGAGAGCGCCUGCCUUGCACGCAGGAGGUCAGCGGUUCGAUCCCGCUAGGCUCCAUUGUAACUUAGGUUGCAAAAUUAAUUUGUUCUUUGAAAACUGGAUAUUGUAAGAAAGCAAUUUAUGAAAAAAGAAACAAUGUAUACACCGCGUUUUAAAUGAGUUUUUUAACGUUCUUAUCGUAAGAUAAAACGUAUUAACGACAAUUUUGAGUAAUCAAAAUA
rnacentral:tRNA from 1 species